rnacentral:rRNA from 1 species
UACGGAGGGUGCGAGCGUUAAUCGGAAUUACUGGGCGUAAAGCGUGCGUAGGCGGUUGCGUGUGUCGGAUGUGAAAGCCCCGGGCUCAACCUGGGAAUUGCAUUCGAAACUGCGCGACUAGAAUAUGGUAGAGGAAGAUGGAAUUCCACGUGUAGCGGUGAAAUGCGUAGAUAUGUGGAGGAACACCAAUGGCGAAGGCAAUCUUCUGGGCCAAUAUUGACGCUGAGGCACGAAAGCGUGGGUAGCAAAC